rnacentral:misc_RNA from 1 species
AAGUCGUAACAAGGUUUCCGUAGGUAGGUGAACCUGCGGAAGGAUCAUUAACACGUAUCCAACGUUAAACCUGCAAAAAUGAACGUAAUCAGGGGGUUGUGAAAGUGUUCAACCUGAUUAUUUUUAUCUUUGGAAGUAGAAAGUGUACGAGAUGCUGUAAGGUAGACUGCUUUAACGAGCGGGUACCAGUAGGCCGACACGGCCGGUAUCGGAUCCUGGGCGUCGUUCCUAUAGGAACGAGUACACGUCCCUCUUGACCCCUUGAAACGACAGGGUGUCGCGAAAACGUGGUAAGGCAUGAUUUUACUUGUACCGAAAGGUCCAAGUACUAACUGAACAACUGUUAACAAUGGAUAUCUUGGUUCUC